rnacentral:rRNA from 1 species
GAUGAACGCUGGCGGCGUGCUUAACACAUGCAAGUCGAACGAAGCACUUUAAUUGAUUUCUUCGGAAUGAAGUUUUUGUGACUGAGUGGCGGACGGGUGAGUAACGCGUGGGUAACCUGCCUCAUACAGGGGGAUAACAGUUGGAAACGACUGCUAAUACCGCAUAAGCGCACGGGAUUGCAUGAUCCAGUGUGAAAAACUCCGGUGGUAUGAGAUGGACCCGCGUCUGAUUAGCCAGUUGGCGGGGUAACGGCCCACCAAAGCGACGAUCAGUAGCCGACCUGAGAGGGUGACCGGCCACAUUGGGACUGAGACACGGCCCAAACUCCUACGGGAGGCAGCAGUGGGGAAUAUUGCACAAUGGGGGAAACCCUGAUGCAGCGACGCCGCGUGAGCGAAGAAGUAUUUCGGUAUGUAAAGCUCUAUCAGCAGGGAAGAAGAA